rnacentral:lncRNA from 1 species
UCAUAGCACUAUUGUUGAAGAUUAGGGGACCUAUAUGUACAUCACACAAAAGAUUGGGGAGCCCAACUCUAAAUGUUCCUAAAAUAUUAUAUCCACGUAAGCACAAUUAUCGUGUUUAUAACCCCAAUACAUUCCGCGUGGUACAGCUACCGUCUUCUUCUCGCUAUAUAUUCUCGCCUUUUCUUCUCCGCCGCCACACCCUCCGCGUCGCCAGAUUCCACCGUAAACAAGGUCAAGUAGAACACGCACACCGAAAGUAGUCUUCAUCAUUCAAAUAUACUAAUUUCACGGUAUGAACACAAAUUACUGCUUAUGGGAGUAGGUUUAUGUUACAAAUAAUCAAACCAAACCAUGUUUUCCCGUUUUGCCCCUCCCGUUAGUUUGAAUUUACCCCUCUCUUGCCUCACCAUCGUCCGUUCUCUCAUCGGCGCAAAUCAUACUUCUGCUCGAUUCUGUUCGCGAU